CCGGCCUGAGAGGGUGAACGGACACACUGGAACUGAGACACGGUCCAGACUCCUACGGGAGGCAGCAGUAGGGAAUAUUGCUCAAUGGGGGAAACCCUGAAGCAGCAACGCCGCGUGGAGGAUGAAGGUUUUAGGAUUGUAAACUCCUUUUGUUAGAGAAGAUAAUGACGGUAUCUAACGAAUAAGCACCGGCUAACUCCGUGCCAGCAGCCGCGGUAAUACGGAGGGUGCAAGCGUUACUCGGAAUCACUGGGCGUAAAGAGCGCGUAGGCGGGAUAGUCAGUCAGGUGUGAAAUCCUAUGGCUUAACCAUAGAACUGCAUUUGAAACUACUAUUCUAGAGUGUGGGAGAGGUAGGUGGAAUUCUUGGUGUAGGGGUAAAAUCCGUAGAGAUCAAGAGGAAUACUCAUUGCGAAGGCGACCUGCUGGAACAUUACUGACGCUGAUUGCGCGAAAGCGUGGGGAGCAAACAGGAUUAGAUACCCUGGUAGUCCACGCCCUAAACGAUGGAUGCUAGUUGUUGGAGGGCUUAGUCUCUCCAGUAAUGCAGCUAACGCAUUAAGCAUCCCGCCUGGGGAGUACGGUCGCAAGAUUAAAACUCAAAGGAAUAGACGGGGACCCGCACAAGCGGUGGAGCAUGUGGUUUAAUUCGAAGAUACACGAAGAACCUUACCUAGGCUUGACAUUGAGAGAAUCCGCUAGAAAUAGUGGAGUGUCUAGCUUGCUAGACCUUGAAAACAGGUGCUGCACGGCUGUCGUCAGCUCGUGUCGUGAGAUGUUGGGUUAAGUCCCGCAACGAGCGCAACCCCCUUUCUUAGUUGCUAACAGGUCAUGCUGAGAACUCUAAGGAUACUGCCUCCGUAAGGAGGAGGAAGGUGGGGACGACGUCAAGUCAUCAUGGCCCUUACGCCUAGGGCUACACACGUGCUACAAUGGGGUGCACAAAGAGAAGCAAUACUGCGAAGUGGAGCCAAUCUUCAAAACACCUCUCAGUUCGGAUUGUAGGCUGCAACUCGCCUGCAUGAAGCUGGAAUCGCUAGUAAUCGCAAAUCAGCCAUGUUGCGGUGAAUACGUUCCCGGGUCUUGUACUCACCGCCCGUCACACCAUGGGAGUUGUGUUUGCCUUAAGUCAGGAUGCUAAA
rnacentral:rRNA from 1 species